rnacentral:rRNA from 1 species
UACGGAGGGGGCUAGCGUUGUUCGGAAUUACUGGGCGUAAAGCGCACGUAGGCGGCUUUGUAAGUUAGAGGUGAAAGCCCGGGGCUCAACUCUGGAAUUGCCUUUGAGACUGAGUGGCUUGAGUACGAGAGAGGUGAGUGGAAUUCCCAGUGUAGCGGUGAAAUGCGUAGAUAUCUGGAGGAACACCGGUGGCGAAGGCGGCAUCCUGGACCGACACUGACGCUGAGGAGCGAAAGCCAGGGGAGCAAACGGG